GAAAUGCGAUAAGUAAUGUGAAUUGCAGAAUUCAGUGAAUCAUCGAAUCUUUGAACGCACCUUGCGCUCCUUGGUAUUCCUUGGAGCAUGCCUGUUUGAGUAUCAUGAAAUCUUCAAAGUAAAUCUUUUGUUAACUCAAUUGGUUUCUACUUUGGUAUUGGAGGUCUUUGCAGCGUCACACCUGCUCCUCUUUGUUCAUUAGCUGGAUCUCAGUGUUAUGCUUGGUUCCACUCGGCGUGAUAAGUUAUCUAUCGCUGAGGACACUGUAAAAGGUGGCCAAGGUAAAUGCAGAUGAACCGCUUCUAAUAGUCCAUUGACUUGGACAAUACUUUUAUGAUCUGAUCUCAAAUCAGGUAGGACUACCCGCUGAACUUAAGC
rnacentral:misc_RNA from 1 species